GGCUAACUCCGGGCCGGCAGCGGCGGUAAUUAGGGGGGUGCAAGAGUUAAUCGGAAUUACUGUGCGUAAAGCGCACGCCGGCGGGUGGAUAAGUCAGAUGUGAAAGCCCCGGGCUCAACCUGGGAACUGCAGUUGAAACUGUCCGGCUAGAGUCUUGUAGAGGGGGGUAGAAUUCCAGGUGUAGCGGUGAAAUGCGUAGAGAUCUGGAGGAAUACCGGUGGCGAAGGCGGCCCCCUGGACAAAGACUGACGCUCAGGUGCGAAAGCGUGGGGAGCAAACAGGAUUAGAUACCCUUGUAUC
rnacentral:rRNA from 1 species